GUUUGGAGUCAGAUGGGCCUGGCUGUGGACUGAGGGAAGGAGAGGAGGUCAGGUGAGGGCCUGGAGAACAGAGGGAAGGGAGACGGGGAAGUAGUGAUAUUAGGGAGAUACAUCGUUACCAGGCACCUGCUGGGUGUGAGACACUGAGUUGUCCCAUCGAAUCCUCUUCACUGCAUCACAAUGGACACACUCUGGUCCCCAUACUGUGGAGGGUAACACUGAGGCCCAGAGGGGUUCAUGGUUCCCGCAGCUGCUGAGACGCCAGCGACGUGGCUGAGAGCAGGCUGGCCCAGGCCCUUCUGGUCCAAGGCCUCAGGAGCCAGGAAUCUGCCAUAUGACCCAAGCUCCCCUCCACUGAGGCUCAGGCUUCUUGGGUUCCUGGUCCCCUCGCCUGCUGGGGCGCUGUGCUGGGUGAAGAGCCGGGUUCUGACCUCCUGACUCACUGUGAUUUCCCUCCAGUGCCAGGUGACCGUGCUGACGGAGCCUUCACCCCUGCCCCAGCAGCCUCCCACCUCCGGCAGUGAACAAAUUGGGUUUUUGAAGACCAUCAACUGCUCCUGCCCAGCCGGAGAAAAGGGUGAAAAGGGCUCUGAUGGCCCCGUGGGACUCCCCGGCCCAAAGGGAGACAUGGGAGCCACUGGGCUGGUUGGAGCUCCUGGACCCAAGGGAGAAAAAGGUGACAUGGGCAGAGGGCCUUUUGUCCAAGGAGAGAAGGGUGAAAAGGGUUCCCUGGGCCUGCCCGGUCUCCCUGGAAGAGACGGCAGCAAAGGCAUGCGGGUACGUCUGCUCCCACCGUCCUCCCCACUGGCAGCCCCCUGAUCAGAGCCCGUGUCCUUGAGC
rnacentral:lncRNA from 1 species